UUUAAUGGAGAGUUUGAUCCUGGCUCAGGACGAACGCUGGCGGCGUGCCUAAUACAUGCAAGUCGAGCGGACCCUUCGGGGUUAGCGGCGGACGGGUGAGUAACACGUAGGCAACCUGCCUGUAAGACUGGGAUAACUACCGGAAACGGUAGCUAAGACCGGAUAAGUGAUUCUCUUGCAUGAGAGGAUCAAGAAACACGGGGUAACCUGUGG
rnacentral:rRNA from 1 species